rnacentral:misc_RNA from 1 species
UCCGAGUUGACCCCGGCAGUCUCCUGCGAGUCCCCGCCAUUACGCGCUGGCAACACAGGACAAGGGUUGCGCUCGUUGCGGGACUUAACCCAACAUCUCACGACACGAGCUGACGACAGCCAUGCACCACCUGUGAAGAUGCCCCGAAGGGAAGACCUGUUUCCAGGCCGGUCAUCCACAUGUCAAGCCCAGGUAAGGUUCUUCGCGUUGCGUCGAAUUAAGCCACAUGCUCCGCCGCUUGUGCGGGCCCCCGUCAAUUCCUUUGAGUUUCAGCCUUGCGGCCGUACUCCCCAGGCGGGGCGCUUAAUGCGUUAGCUGCGGCACGGAACCCGUGGAAUGGGCCCCACACCUAGCGCCGAACGUUUACGGUGUGGACUAC